rnacentral:rRNA from 1 species
UCAGGAUGAACGCUGGCGGCAGGCUAAUACAUGCAAGUCGAACGGUAAGGCCGAGUGUAGCAAUACACGAGGUACACGAGUGGCGCACGGGUGCGUAACGCGUAUGCAACCUGCCCCUGACCGGGACAAAACAGCUGGAAACGGCUGCUAAUAUCCCAUGGUUACCGAGGAGGGCAUCCUCCUUUGUAUAAAGAUUCAUUGGUCGGGGAUGGGCAUGCGUAUUAUUAGGUAGUUGGUGGGGUAGCGGCCCACCAAGCCGACGAUGAUUAGGGUUCUGAGAGGAUUAACCCCCACACUGGAACUGAGACACGGUCCAGACUCCUACGGGAGGCAGCAGUAGGGAAUAUUGGGCAAUGGAGGCAACUCUGACCCAGCCAUGCCCGCGUGAAGGAAGACGGCCCUAUGGGUUGUAAACUUCUUUUAUCGUGGAGUAAACCCGGUCACGUGUGGCCGGUUGAGAGUACACGAGGAAUAAGUAUCGGCUAACUCCGUGCCAGCCGCAGC